rnacentral:tRNA from 1 species
GCCGAGGUGGCGGAAUUGGCAGACGCGACGGACUUAAAAUCCGUUGGCCCUCGGGCCGUGCGAGUUCAAAUCUCGCCCUCGGCACCA